rnacentral:rRNA from 1 species
AGUGAACGCUGGCGGUAGGCCUAACACAUGCAAGUCGAACGGCAGCACAGUAAGAGCUUGCUCUUACGGGUGGCGAGUGGCGGACGGGUGAGGAAUACAUCGGAAUCUACUUUUUCGUGGGGGAUAACGUAGGGAAACUUACGCUAAUACCGCAUACGACCUACGGGUGAAAGCAGGGGAUCUUCGGACCUUGCGCGAUUGAAUGAGCCGAUGUCGGAUUAGCUAGUUGGCGGGGUAAAGGCCCACCAAGGCGACGAUCCGUAGCUGGUCUGAGCGGAUGAUCAGCCACACUGGAACUGAGACACGGUCCAGACUCCUAGGGGAGGCAGCAGUGGGGAAUAUUGGACAAUGGGCGAAAGCCUGAUCCAGCCAUACCGCGUGGGUGAAGAAGGCCUUCGGGUUGUAAAGACCUUUUGUUGGGAAAGAAAAGCAGCAGGUUAAUACCCCGCUGUUCUGACGGUACCCAAAGAAUAAGCACCGGCUAACUUCGUG